GACGAACGCUGGCGGCGUGCUUAACACAUGCAAGUCGAACGGAAAGGCCCUGCUUUUGUGGGGUGCUCGAGUGGCGAACGGGUGAGUAACACGUGAGUAACCUGCCCUUGACUUUGGGAUAACUUCAGGAAACUGGGGCUAAUACCGGAUAGGAGCUCCUGCUGCAUGGUGGGGGUUGGAAAGUUUCGGCGGUUGGGGAUGGACUCGCGGCUUAUCAGCUUGUUGGUGGGGUAGUGGCUUACCAAGGCUUUGACGGGUAGCCGGCCUGAGAGGGUGACCGGCCACAUUGGGACUGAGAUACGGCCCAGACUCCUACGGGAGGCAGCAGUGGGGAAUAUUGCACAAUGGGCGGAAGCCUGAUGCAGCAACGCCGCGUGCGGGAUGACGGCCUUCGGGUUGUAAACCGCUUUCGCCUGUGACGAAGCGUGAGUGACGGUAAUGGGUAAAGAAGCACCGGCUAACUACGUGCCAGCAGCCGCGGUGAUACGUAGGGUGCGAGCGUUGUCCGGAUUUAUUGGGCGUAAAGGGCUCGUAGGUGGUUGAUCGCGUCGGAAGUGUAAUCUUGGGGCUUAACCCUGAGCGUGCUUUCGAUACGGGUUGACUUGAGGAAGGUAGGGGAGAAUGGAAUUCCUGGUGGAGCGGUGGAAUGCGCAGAUAUCAGGAGGAACACCAGUGGCGAAGGCGGUUCUCUGGGCCUUUCCUGACGCUGAGGAGCGAAAGCGUGGGGAGCGAACAGGCUUAGAUACCCUGGUAGUCCACGCUGUAAACGGUGGGUACUAGGUGUGGGGUCCAUUCCACGGGUUCCGUGCCGUAGCUAACGCUUUAAGUACCCCGCCUGGGGAGUACGGCCGCAAGGCUAAAACUCAAAGGAAUUGACGGGGCCCCGCACAAGCGGCGGAGCAUGCGGAUUAAUUCGAUGCAACGCGUAGAACCUUACCUGGGUUUGACAUGGAUCGGGAGCGCUCAGAGAUGGGUGUGCCUCUUUUGGGGUCGGUUCACAGGUGGUGCAUGGCUGUCGUCAGCUCGUGUCGUGAGAUGUUGGGUUAAGUCCCGCAACGAGCGCAACCCUUGUUCACUGUUGCCAGCACGUUAUGGUGGGGACUCAGUGGAGACCGCCGGGGUCAACUCGGAGGAAGGUGGGGAUGACGUCAAGUCGUCAUGCCCCUUAUGUCCAGGGCUUCACGCAUGCUACAAUGGCUGGUACAGAGAGUGGCGAGCCUGUGAGGGUGAGCGAAUCUCGGAAAGCCGGUCUCAGUUCGGAUUGGGGUCUGCAACUCGACCUCAUGAAGUCGGAGUCGCUAGUAAUCGCAGAUCAGCAACGCUGCGGUGAAUACGUUCCCGGGGCU
rnacentral:rRNA from 1 species